GCUCCUUCAUUUUGAGUCCAAAUUAAGUGAUUCAAAAGGCAAACUUCAAGAGAAUUUCGAGGGGAAUCUAGCGGUGAUCUCAGAAACGCGAGGGGAGGCUUCGUUUGAGUGGGGAAGCAUUUGGAGACCGUUCGGAGAGGAAAAGAUCCGGUACCGUGAGUUGGAGCACGCGUGAUCGGCUUUCAGGUCCGAGCACUAGUAGCCAGCGUUGAUCGAGCUUGGAGUAGACUUAUCCGGAGACGGG